rnacentral:rRNA from 1 species
AUAGCCGCAAGGUUGAACCAGCAACUUGGAGGAAUGUACACAAUUGUUGAAUGCAUUAUAAUGAUGCAUUAUUGAAGUCAAAUAAAAUUCUGGGUAGAUUGUGAUGAUGACAUUUUCUAUCUAUAUGUCUUGACCAACCCACGUGCCAGCAGUCGCGGUAAGACGUUAAAGACAAGUGUUAUUCAUGUUUAAUCGGUUUAAAGAGUACCAAGACUGUUAAUAAAGCCCAUAAAGGGGACACAUUAACUAGAGUUAUAUGAAAAGGGGCUGGAAGGUACUGUUGAGUGUAGAGAUGAUAUUCUUUGAUACCAGAUGAUUGGCACCGUUGAAUGCGAAGGCAUCUCCUUAUGUUAUAACUGACGUUGUAGGACGAAGGCUUAGGAAAUAAAAAGGAUUAGUUACCCAAGUAAUCUAGGCAGAAAAUGAUGAAUGUCAUAGGUUAAAUUUGAUCUAUAAAUGAAAGUGUAAGCAUUCCACCUCAAGAGUAAUUUGGCAACAUUGGAACUGAAAUCAUUAGACCGUUUUUGAAACCUGUAGUGAAGUAUGUUGUUUAAUUAGACGAUCCGCACAAAACCUUACCACAAUUUGAAUAAAUAUUUUUAUAUGUAUUUACAAGUGUUGCACGGCUGUCUUAAGUUAAUGUCGUGAGAUUUUGGUUUGUUCCAUUAAAUUGACGGAAACCCUAGCUUUAUUUAUUGAUAAAGUUGUUCGAAGAGAAAUCGUUUAUGUUAACAGGGACCAUGACAAGUCAU